rnacentral:rRNA from 1 species
CGUAGGGAGCAAGCGUUGUCCGGAAUUAUUGGGCGUAAAGGGUGCGUAGGCGGUUUGUCAAGUCAGAUGUGAAAUACCCGGGCUUAACCUGGGGGGUGCAUCUGAAACUGGCAGACUUGAGUGCAGGAGAGGAAAGUGGAAUUCCUAGUGUAGCGGUGAAAUGCGUAGAUAUUAGGAGGAACACCAGUGGCGAAGGCGACUUUCUGGACUGUAACUGACGCUGAGGCACGAAAGCGUGGGGAGCAAACAGGAUUAGAUACCCUGGUAGUCCACGCUGUAAACGAUGGAUACUAGGUGUAGGGGUCUUAAGACCUCUGUGCCGCAGCUAACGCAAUAAGUAUCCCGCCUGGGGAGUACGACCGCAAGGUUG